rnacentral:rRNA from 1 species
UACGAAGGGAGCUAGCGUUGUUCGGAAUCACUGGGCGUAAAGCGCACGUAGGCGGAUGUGUCAGUCAGGGGUGAAAUCCCGGAGCUCAACUUCGGAACUGCCUUUGAUACAGCACGUCUUGAGUCCGAUAGAGGUGGGUGGAAUUCCUAGUGUAGAGGUGAAAUUCGUAGAUAUUAGGAAGAACACCGGGUGGCGAAGGCGGGUUGCGUGGGC